AACGAACGCUGGCGGCAGGCCUAACACAUGCAAGUCGAGCGCCCGCAAGGGAGCGGCGGACGGGUGAGUAACGCGUGGGUACGUGCCCUUUGCUACGGAAUAGCCUCGGGAAACUGAGAGUAAUACCGUAUGUGCCCUUCGGGGGAAAGAUUUAUCGGCAAAGGAUCGGCCCGCGUUGGAUUAGGUAGUUGGUGGGGUAAUGGCCUACCAAGCCGACGAUCCAUAGCUGGUUUGAGAGGAUGAUCAGCCACACUGGGACUGAGACACGGCCCAGACUCCUACGGGAGGCAGCAGUGGGGAAUCUUAGACAAUGUGCGCAAGCCUGAUCUAGCCAUGCCGCGUGAGCGAUGAAGGCCUUAGGGUUGUAAAGCUCUUUCGUGGGGGAAGAUAAUGACGGUACCCCAAGAAGAAGCCCCGGCUAUCUCCGUGCCAGCCGCCGCCGUAAGAC
rnacentral:rRNA from 1 species